UACGUAGGGUGCGAGCGUUAAUCGGAAUUACUGGGCGUAAAGCGUGCGCAGGCGGUUCGUGAUGUCUGAUGUGAAAGCCCCGGGCUCAACCUGGGAAUUGCAUUGGAAACUAGCGGGCUGGAGUGUGGCAGAGGGGGGUGGAAUUCCACGUGUAGCAGUGAAAUGCGUAGAGAUGUGGAGGAACACCGAUGGCGAAAGCAGCUCUCUGGGACGGUACUGACGCUGAGACGCGAAAGCGUGGGGAGCGAACAGG
rnacentral:rRNA from 1 species